rnacentral:lncRNA from 1 species
AUGUUUUUUUCUGUUUGUAAUGUCCAUAGAGCUUCAUUCAUACUGAAACUGAAACAUUCCUUUAUAUUUCAUACUACUGUGAGCAGUAGAUUUGUGAUCAGAGGCAGUUAUUCGUUUCGUUUCAGUGUUUGGAUAGCAGAGCGUUCAUCUGUGUGUGUGACUGGACUCAUGUUUGAGUCGAUUUUAUUUUAUGAGUGUUGUACCCCGUCAGUGUUUCUGCUCUUACGUUGACUGCUUUGAUCGAGUCGGAAACGUUCGGUGAAGACGACGUGAAUAUCAUUGACUGGUUUUCCAUGCCUCCGAGCAGUUUGGCUGGAUUUUUAUUAGUGACCUUUUAAAAAACCAGGGAAAAGUCUCAUAGUUAUUAAAUCUGUAAUUAUCAGUCCAGAUUUGACAGAUGUGAAGAGUAUUGUUUUCAAGUACCAUACUUUAGUUCCCAAGGAGAUUAUUUUUCAUGUUUAAUAUUUUGCAAAAAUAAAGACAAACAUAUGAUUUUAUUUUUUUACCAUUCUUUGUUGCCCUUCGGUGGUACUGACCUGAAGAUGACGAUGAUGACAAAGAGCAAUUAUUUGCACUGAAUAUGCAUUUUAGAGACUUCUGUGAAAUGUAUACAAUGGCAAGCUACAUUUCCACGCUUUGUGGAGAAAUACUGUAUGUCGAGUCAGAUAUAUCUGUAUAUAGUUUGACCUUUGUACAUAUCUAUACAUAAGAGUAUCCAUGGUCCUGAUCACUCCAGCCUUUGGUUCUUUUAUUUUCAUCGAAAGGCAUUUGCUGACUGCAUUGUGCUUGAAUCUGAAUUUAGACAUGUACAGCGCCAGUAUCUAUGAAAUGAUGACUAAAUAAAUUAUAGAACAUAAGAAAAGAAAAAAAAAACUGUUUGUGUCUUUGGUUUUUGUUGAGUUUCUUCAGAAAUGCAUUAAUGGAGUUGAAGCUGCAGUAUUUCUAUCGAUAUUUUGGUUUGCUGUGCUGGUAUUAUUAUUUUUACAUGUAAUCUGGAUAAUGUAAUCAGAUUCCAAAAACUAAGCGCUCGUAAUUAUAUUACAUUUUAAAACACUCAUAAUCAGACUACACUUUAUUGAUUACAAACAAUAGCAAUAAAUUAUUCAUAAUGUAGUGAUUGUCAUUAUUGCUUAAAUACAUUUUACUUUUUUUCUUUUUUCUUAAGAAAUAAGAUGAUAAACUAAGAA